UGGGGUGCUCGAGUGGCGAACGGGUGAGUAACACGUGAGUAACCUGCCCUUGACUUUGGGAUAACUUCAGGAAACUGGGGCUAAUACCGGAUAGGAGCUCCUGCUGCAUGGUGGGGGUUUGAAAGUUUCGGCGGUUGGGGAUGGACUCGCGGCUUAUCAGCUUGUUGGUGGGGUAGUGGCUUACCAAGGCUUUGACGGGUAGCCGGCCUGAGAGGGUGACCGGCCACAUUGGGACUGAGAAACGGUCCAA
rnacentral:rRNA from 1 species